rnacentral:rRNA from 1 species
UACGUAGGGUGCGAGCGUUGUCCGGAAUUAUUGGGCGUAAAGGGCUCGUAGGCGGUUUGUCGCGUCGGGAGUGAAAAUCCAGGGCUUAACUCUGGACUGGCUUCCGAUACGGGCAGACUAGAGGUAUGCAGGGGAGAACGGAAUUCCUGGUGUAGCGGUGAAAUGCGCAGAUAUCAGGAGGAACACCGGUGGCGAAGGCGGGUCUCUGGGCAAUUCCUGACGCUGAGGCGCGAAAGCGUGGGGAGCAAACGGG